AUCAAAGGUCCGAGCGAUACAGAGUGUGGAAACCAGAGCAUAAAACUAUGAAUUUUGAAGUUCAGCCAAUCAACAUUCAGAAUUCCCCUAGCCCAACCAACCACGUUUCGUACUUUCAGAGCGCUCAGAGUGUCAACGUCGAAAACACCCUGGGUAAUCCACAUAGUGGCAUCACUGGUCACUGACAUGUCUCGUUUAUAGCUUAUAGCACAUGGCAAUUUUUUCAUCCAACUUUUGUCGAAAAUGUCAUAUUAUCUAUUUAUUUAUUCAACAUAUACGGGACUUGCCCAUUCGUACAAAAGUACUCUUAAAAACUAAUGUUGCACACCGCAACCUGUAUUCACAAACUUACAUGAGCUAGUGGUGGGCCAGAUGGUAUUGCUGCACUUGGUCCUGCUGUAAGAUAACCGGCAGACAUCGGUGUUCCAGCUAAUUUAAACACACAAAAAUUAGUACAAUAAAUAAAUUGCUAAUUUACUUUUCAUCAGUUCACGCAAGAAUUACAAGUACAAGAAUUAUUAUUAUGUAUAACAUUUUUAAUUAUUGUGUGAAGAAAUUAAGUUUUAUAAAAGUA